AUUGAACGCUGGCGGCAUGCCUUACACAUGCAAGUCGAACGGUAACAGGUCUUCGGAUGCUGACGAGUGGCGAACGGGUGAGUAAUACAUCGGAACGUGCCUAGUAGUGGGGAUAACUACUCGAAAGAGUGGCUAAUACCGCAUGAGAUCUACGGAUGAAAGCAGGGGAUCGCAAGACCUUGUGCUACUAGAGCGGCCGAUGGCAGAUUAGGUAGUUGGUGGGAUAAAAGCUUACCAAGCCGACGAUCUGUAGCUGGUCUGAGAGGACGAUCAGACACACUGGGACUGAGACACGGCCCAGACUCCUACGGGAGGCAGCAGUGGGGAAUUUUGGACAAUGGGCGCAAGCCUGAUCCAGCAAUGCCGCGUGCAGGAUGAAGGCCUUCGGGUUGUAAACUGCUUUUGUACGGAACGAAAAGCCCUGGGUUAAUACCCUGGGGUCAUGACGGUACCGUAAGAAUAAGCACCGGCUAACUACGUGCCAGCCGCCGCCGUAACAC
rnacentral:rRNA from 1 species